rnacentral:rRNA from 1 species
UACGUAGGGUGCAAGCGUUGCCCGGAUUUAUUGGGCGUAAAGGGCGCGUAGGCGGCUCUGCACGUCCGUUGUGAAAUCGCCCGGCUCAACUGGGCGGGGUCAGCGGAUACGGCAGAGCUUGAGCAAGCUAGGGGGCAAUGGAAUUCCCGGUGUAGUGGUGGAAUGCGUAGAUAUCUGGAAGAACACCAAAGGCGAAGGCAAUGUUCUGGCUCGUUUCUGACGCUCAGGUGCGAAAGCCAGGGGAGCGAACGGG